UACGUAGGGUGCAAGCGUUGUCCGGAAUUAUUGGGCGUAAAGAGCUCGUAGGCGGUCUGUCGCGUCGGCUGUGAAAACUCGGGGCUCAACCCCGAGCCUGCAGUCGAUACGGGCAGACUAGAGUGCUGUAGGGGAGACUGGAAUUCCUGGUGUAGCGGUGAAAUGCGUAGAUAUCGAGAGGAACACCUGCGGCGAAGGCGGGUUGCUGGGCCGACACUGACGCUGAUGCGCGAAAGCCAGGGGAGCGAACGGG
rnacentral:rRNA from 1 species